rnacentral:rRNA from 1 species
GGGUAACCUACCCUAUGCUGGGGGAUAAGCUCGGGAAACUGAGAAUAAUACCCCAUAGUCCACUACGCCUGGAACGGUGAGUGGAUCAAAGCUCCGGCGGCAUAGGAUGGGCCUGCGGCGUAUCAGGUUGUAGGGGGUGUAAUGUACCCUCUAGCCAUCUACGCGUACGGGUGUUGGGAGACAUUGCCCGGAGAUGGAUUCUGAGACACGAAUCCAGACCCUACGGGGUGCAGCAGGCGCGAAAACUUGGCAAUGCGAGAAAUCGUGACCAGGGAACUCCAAGUGGCAGGGGUAAGACCCUGUCUUUUUCCGACUCUAAAUAGGUCGGCGAAUAAGGGGUGGGUAAGGACGGUGCCAGCCGCCGCGGUAAUACCGGCGCCUCAAGUGGUAGUCGCUUUUAUUGGGCCUAAAACGUCCGUAGCCGGUCUGGUACAUUCGUGGGUAAAUCAACUCGCUCAACGAGUUGAAUUCUGCGAGGACGGCCAGACUUGGGACCGGGAGAGGUGUGGGGUACUCUCAGGGUAGGGGUAAAAUCCUGUCAUCCUGAGAGGACCACCUGUUGCGAAGGCUCCACACUAGAACGGAUCCGACGGUCAGGGACGAAGCCUAGGGGCACGAACCGGAUUAGAUACCCGGGUAGUCCUAGGUGUAAACGCUGUGGACUUGAUGUUGGGGACGCUCCGAGCGUUCUCAGUGUCGAAGCGAAGGUGAUAAGUCCACUGCCUGGGGAGUACGGUCGCAAGGCUGAAACU